rnacentral:rRNA from 1 species
CUGGGGGAGCGAACGGGAUUAGAUACCGCGGUAGUCCCAGCUGUAAAUAAUGCGGACUGUGGUGUUGCUUCAGAGUUAAUCUGCAGCAGUGCUGUAGCGUAGGUGUUAAGUCCGCCGCCUGGGGAGUACGGCCGCAAGGUUGAGACUUAAAGGAAUUGGCGGGGGAGCACCACAAGGGGUGGAUGCUACGGUUUAAUUGGAUACGACGCCGUGAACUUCACCAAGGGCGACGGCAGAAUGAAGGCCAGACUAAAGAUCUUGCCUAACAAGCCGAGAGGUGUUGCAUGGCCAUCGUCAGCUCGUGGCGUGAGUUGUCUGGUAAAGUCCAGCAACGAGCGAGACCCAUACCAUUAAUUGCUACUUUUACCUUUAGUAAGAGGCACCUUAAUGGGACUGCCCGCGUUAAGUGGGAGGAAGGAGUGGGCGACGGUAGGUCAGUAUGGCCCGAAUCCCUUGGGCUACACGCGGCAUACAAUGGCUGCAACAAUGGGUUGCUACUCCGAAAGGAGGCGCUAAUCCCCUAAAUCCAGUCUUAGUUCGGAUUGAGGGUUGAAACUCACCCUCAUGAAGCUGGAUCCCUAGUAAUCGCGUGUCAUCAUCGC